rnacentral:rRNA from 1 species
GGUUAAGCGACUAAGCGUACACGGUGGAUGCCCUGGCAGUCAGAGGCGAUGAAGGACGUGCUAAUCUGCGAAAAGCGUCGGUAAGGUGAUAUGAACCGUUAUAACCGGCGAUGUCCGAAUGGGGAAACCCAGUGUGAUUCGUCACACUAUCGUUAACUGAAUACAUAGGUUAACGAGGCGAACCGGGGGAACUGAAACAUCUAAGUACCCCGAGGAAAAGAAAUCAACCGAGAUUCCCCCAGUAGCGGCGAGCGAACGGGGAGCAGCCCAGAGUCUGAAUCAGCUUGUGUGUUAGUGGAACGGUCUGGAAAGUCCGACGGUACAGGGUGAUAGUCCCGUACACCAAAAUGCACAGGCUGUGAACUCGAAGAGUAGGGCGGGACACGUGGUAUCCUGUCUGAAUAUGGGGGGACCAUCCUCCAAGGCUAAAUACUCCUGACUGACCGAUAGUGAACCAGUACCGUGAGGGAAAGGCGAAAAGAACCCCGGCGAGGGGAGUGAAAAAGAACCUGAAACCGUGUACGUACAAGCAGUGGGAGCACCUUCGGGUGUGACUGCGUACCUUUUGUAUAAUGGGUCAGCGACUUAUAUUCUGUAGCAAGGUUAACCGUAUAGGGGAGCCGCAGGGAAACCGAGUCUUAACUGGGCGUUAAGUUGCAGGGUAUAGACCCGAAACCCGGUGAUCUAGCCAUGGGCAGGUUGAAGGUUGGGUAACACUAACUGGAGGACCGAACCGACUAAUGUUGAAAAAUUAGCGGAUGACUUGUGGCUGGGGGUGAAAGGCCAAUCAAACCGGGAGAUAGCUGGUUCUCCCCGAAAGCUAUUUAGGUAGCGCCUCGUGAACUCAUCUUCGGGGGUAGAGCACUGUUUCGGCUAGGGGGUCAUCCCGACUUACCAACCCGAUGCAAACUACGAAUACCGAAGAAUGUUAUCACGGGAGACACACGGCGGGUGCUAACGUCCGUCGUGAAGAGGGAAACAACCCAGACCGCCAGCUAAGGUCCCAAAGUCAUGGUUAAGUGGGAAACGAUGUGGGAAGGCACAGACAGCCAGGAUGUUGGCUUAGAAGCAGCCAUCAUUUAAAGAAAGCGUAAUAGCUCACUGGUCGAGUCGGCCUGCGCGGAAGAUGUAACGGGGCUAAACCAUGCACCGAAGCUGCGGCAGCGACACUAUGUGUUGUUGGGUAGGGGAGCGUUCUGUAAGCCUGCGAAGGUGUGCUGUGAGGCAUGCUGGAGGUAUCAGAAGUGCGAAUGCUGACAUAAGUAACGAUAAAGCGGGUGAAAAGCCCGCUCGCCGGAAGACCAAGGGUUCCUGUCCAACGUUAAUCGGGGCAGGGUGAGUCGACCCCUAAGGCGAGGCCGAAAGGCGUAGUCGAUGGGAAACAGGUUAAUAUUCCUGUACUUGGUGUUACUGCGAAGGGGGGACGGAGAAGGCUAUGUUAGCCGGGCGACGGUUGUCCCGGUUUAAGCAUGUAGGCUGGUUAUCCAGGCAAAUCCGGAUAAUCAAGGCUGAGGUGUGAUGACGAGGCACUACGGUGCUGAAGUAACAAAUGCCCUGCUUCCAGGAAAAGCCUCUAAGCAUCAGGUAACAUCAAAUCGUACCCCAAACCGACACAGGUGGUCAGGUAGAGAAUACCAAGGCGCUUGAGAGAACUCGGGUGAAGGAACUAGGCAAAAUGGUGCCGUAACUUCGGGAGAAGGCACGCUGGUGUGUAGGUGAAGUCCCUGCGGAUGGAGCUGAGACCAGUCGAAGAUACCAGCUGGCUGCAACUGUUUAUUAAAAACACAGCACUGUGCAAACACGAAAGUGGACGUAUACGGUGUGACGCCUGCCCGGUGCCGGAAGGUUAAUUGAUGGGGUUAUCCGUAAGGAGAAGCUCUUGAUCGAAGCCCCGGUAAACGGCGGCCGUAACUAUAACGGUCCUAAGGUAGCGAAAUUCCUUGUCGGGUAAGUUCCGACCUGCACGAAUGGCGUAAUGAUGGCCAGGCUGUCUCCACCCGAGACUCAGUGAAAUUGAACUCGCUGUGAAGAUGCAGUGUACCCGCGGCAAGACGGAAAGACCCCGUGAACCUUUACUAUAGCUUGACACUGAACAUUGAGCCUUGAUGUGUAGGAUAGGUGGGAGGCUUUGAAGCGUGGACGCCAGUCUGCGUGGAGCCAACCUUGAAAUACCACCCUUUAAUGUUUGAUGUUCUAACGUUGGCCCCUGACCGGGGUUGCGGACAGUGUCUGGUGGGUAGUUUGACUGGGGCGGUCUCCUCCCAAAGCGUAACGGAGGAGCACGAAGGUUAGCUAAUCCUGGUCGGACAUCAGGAGGUUAGUGCAAUGGCAUAAGCUAGCUUGACUGCGAGCGUGACGGCGCGAGCAGGUGCGAAAGCAGGUCAUAGUGAUCCGGUGGUUCUGAAUGGAAGGGCCAUCGCUCAACGGAUAAAAGGUACUCCGGGGAUAACAGGCUGAUACCGCCCAAGAGUUCAUAUCGACGGCGGUGUUUGGCACCUCGAUGUCGGCUCAUCACAUCCUGGGGCUGAAGUAGGUCCCAAGGGUAUGGCUGUUCGCCAUUUAAAGUGGUACGCGAGCUGGGUUUAGAACGUCGUGAGACAGUUCGGUCCCUAUCUGCCGUGGGCGCUGGAGAAUUGAGGGGGGCUGCUCCUAGUACGAGAGGACCGGAGUGGACGCAUCACUGGUGUUCGGGUUGUCAUGCCAAUGGCACUGCCCGGUAGCUAAAUGCGGAAGAGAUAAGUGCUGAAAGCAUCUAAGCACGAAACUUGCCCCGAGAUGAGUUCUCCCUGAGACU